GACAAACGCUGGCGGCGUGCUUAACACAUGCAAGUCGAACGGAAAGGCCCUGCUUUUGUGGGGUGCUCGAGUGGCGAACGGGUGAGUAACACGUGAGUAACCUGCCCUUGCCUUUGGGAUAACUUCAGGAAACUGGGGCUAAUACCGGAUAGGAGCUCCUGCUGCAUGGUGGGGGGUGGAAAGUUUCGGCGGUUGGGGAUGGACUCGCGGCUUAGAUGCUUGCUGGUGGGGUAGUGGCUUACCAAGGCUUUGACGGGUAGCCGGCCUGGGAGGGUGACCGGCCACAUUGGGUGUGAGAUACGGCCCAGAAGCCGACGGGAGGCAGCAGUGGGGAAUAUUGCACAAUGGGCGGAAGCCUGAUGCAGCAACGCCGCGUGCGGGAUGACGGCCUUCGGGUGGUAAGCCGCUUUCGCCUGUGACGAAGCGUGAGUGACGGUAAUGGGUAAAGAAGCACCGGCUAACUACGUG
rnacentral:rRNA from 1 species